AGUGGUAUCAAAAUGCGUAUUUCUCAUGGAAGCCAACAUAGUUUUAAAGAACCACUCCAAGUUAGGGCAAAGGGUUGUAAUAAGCAAUUGAAAUGAGGAAAAGAGAAGGCUGUCAAGAAGAGCAGGAAAUGUCAUGGUUGUGGGUUAACAGGGCAGUCGCACGACAAAAGAAAUUGUCCAAAGCUUCUUAACAUCUCUUCGCAAGAUGUUAGGUUGAACACCGACGACGACAACAUGUCCAACAAUGAUGACGAAUGAUGGGAAAACGCGAGGUUGACAAGAUGGCGAUGUGCGGAGAUAGAGAUGGAGGAAAUGGCAAGGCAAGGUUGACUGCCCUUGUAGACCGCUUGGAGAUGUUGAUUUUGUAAUGGGAUGUUCACUGC